UACGUAGGGUGCAAGCGUUUGUCCGGAAUUAUUGGGCGUAAAGAGCUCGUAGGCGGUUUGUCGCGUCGAAUGUGAAAACCCGGGGCUCAACCCCGGGCCUGCAUUCGAUACGGGCAGACUAGAGUUCGGUAGGGGAGUCUGGAAUUCCUGGUGUAGCGGUGAAAUGCGUAGAUAUCAGGAGGAACACCGGUGGUGUAGACGGCUCUCUGGACCGUAACUGACGCUGAGACACGAAAGCGUGGGUAGCAAACAGG
rnacentral:rRNA from 1 species